ACCUAAAAAAGUUGCAAACAAAUCCAAAAUGAAAAUUUUCAUUCCAUACAUUUUUUUUUUAGAAACUUUCAUUGAGAAAGAAGGAAAGAAAUAAAGUGGAAUGUAUUUUCAUUCCAUGCAUCUUGAGAUUAUAAAGUGCAUCAGCUGAACAUGCCCGAGAGAAAUGACUAGAAUUACAAAAAAAAAAUUGAAUUAGAAAGAAAUUGCAUGACAAUACACACUAAACCCAUUAAUCUUGUCCAUCUAAUAUCCUUUGAACAAUAUUCAUGGUGAAACCAGAAUAAAUUACACAAUGAAAUGCUCCAUCUUAUUUUUUAGAGCAAGGAGAUAGAACAGGAGCUGCUACAAGUAACAAAGAGAUAGAACAGGAGCUGUUACAAGCAACUAAGCAAAAUUUUUUUUUUUUUUUAAAAAAAAGACAUUGACCAAUACAUAAAUCCUUUCCAUUACAUAAGUCUGGUGCACUGCGUACCAGUAAAGUUGGCUCCAAUUGUAACAAUCAGGGCAUAUUUGUUAGUGAUCUGUGUUAUAAUGUGUUGAUAUAUUAUUAUAUAUAGUUUUCAUUUAUUGUAAUUUUAUAUUCCCUAGAUUAGGAUUUUUUACUUGCCUAUAUGUAUCGUAUCUUUAGCCUAAUUAAAUUAUAAGAGAUUAUUCUCCAAGUACAAAUUACAUGGUAUCAGAGCCCAUCUAGGGUUUGGAAUAUUUGUUUCUUUGUUUAUCCAUUUGACAGCUACAUUCUCACAAGGUUAGGGUUAGGGUUUAAGUUUGGGCCAUCAAGUUCGAGUGGCCAUUUGUCUACACUGCCAACCUCAGAAGGAGCACCCCCACCAUCCGCCGCAAGCUUGGAAAUGGAAUCCAUCUUACAUUUCUUUCAGGAAGGGAACAAUAGAGGGAAUGGAAUCAACACUUUUGGUCGCAUCACCUUCUGAGAUGCAUAGAUGGCAAGGAAAAAAGACUCUCUCAGAAGCCUAAUGUGAGGAAGAAAAAUAUAUUUCGUAUUCAAUUAAGGAAGCUAUCCCAUACAAUUUUGGUCAUGCUUAUCUUCUAUCCAGAUAGACAUCUUAGGAAGAUAUAGCCAACAAGUUCCCAAAUAUAGGGCCAGAAAGAAAGUGGAAAAACCAAAAAAGAAAGUACUUCCAAUACAACAAGAGAAUGCAAAACUUGGCUUAAAAUACAGGUGACAUCCAGAAUAUCCUACUCAAAACCAGUUCAUUUUGUAGUUUCUAACGAAUAUAUAUCAUUACAUUGCUUGAACUUUGUUUCAAAUUAAUUAUAAGUAAAUGUACAGAAAAAAUAAUAAAGCUUACCGCAAUCAUUACACUCUCAUGGAAUAUUACAGGUGAUAUGAACACCCAGAAGAUGUCAUAGAUAAAUGCACAGCAAAGAAGUACUGUUGCUACCUGAGACAAUUAAGAUUGUAAGGAAGUUGAAGCAGUAUAUGAACCAAAUGGAUGAACUUCUUGGAGUACCUUAAUAUUAGGUAAUCGGGUCAUCUGCAAGACUGUGAUCAUCAGGCAAAUACCCUAUUAAGAAGAAUUUGACAAAUUAAAAUCUAUAUACUUAAGCACAUAAAGUGUGGAGCAGCACAGUUAAGAAAACAAUUGCAGAGUGAACAAGUAAUAUGAGGGAGUGCCCCUGGUAAAUGUGGCUCUGCCACUGAUAUCACAAUUGGACAGCUAGAUGCUGAGCUAAUUCAUCCAACAUUUCUAGAACGUAAUGGCAUCAUAAAUGAUAAAAUCAAGAAAAAUGGGUCUCUUCCGUUAGUCCUUGGCUUUGGGGGAUGCAAGGCACAAAUUCCGUCAUUAUCUAAUAUUAGGCACAUAUAUACCAUUGUCCUAUUCUUCACUAAAAGCAAGUAUCCCAUCAUAUAUGUGACCAUUAUCUUUCUUUAUUUCAUUUUUGUUAUUACCCAUAUUCUUUUCUUCAAGAUCCUAGACAGCACUGUGUCAAUUAAUGGCAACAAACAAACCAAAGGUAAACUCACUUCAUUUUAUAAUCGCAAGUGUGACUUGACUAACCUUAUAUGUGAGAAGGUUUGAUGGGCUUUGAUAACAAGAAGACUACGGAUGUUUACUCUGCUAUUUGGUUGGAUAGAUUUCCUAAGAAAAUUAGAACUUUCAUGUAUGAACUCAUCCUUAGUGCCAUUAAUACUGCUGAUUGCCUUCAACGUCGUGUGCCCUACAUGGCCCUCACUCCCUCUUGGUGUCAUAUGUGUCAUUCCCAAUCGGAAUCUGCUGUCCAUCUGUUUCUCCAUUGCAAUUUUGCUGCCCUUUCUUGACACUUUAUCCUUCAGGUCAAUGCUGGUCUACUGUUUUCUCUAAUGACAUGUUUGAUAACCUGACUUCUCUGUUGGUUGGUCAUCCUUUCCAUGGACAUAAGAAAACUUUAUGGUUGGCUAUCACUCGGGCUUUUAGUUUGAUUCUUUGGACAUAAGCACCUUUUUCAGGAAAAAAGCUCCAGUUUUGAGCUUUUCAUGGAUGUUAUUUCUACUGCUUCGUUCUGGUGCAAAUAUAAGCACCCUUUUAAGCUUUUACAUCUUUCUUUUCUUGUCGCUCAUUGGCGUUCUUUCAUGUAAUCACCUUUUGGUGUGUUGGGCUAUACGUACAUGGGUUAUGAUCUUUGGGCUUCUAAAUUGUUCAUCAAUAAUGCAAAUAAAGCUCCCUAAUAGUUGCCUUUAACCAUCUAUUUGUCCUCUGUGUAAGAAGGAAGGGGAAGGUCGCAGCAUCUGUUUUUUACAUGUACUUACUCAAGCAGGCCUUCAUCUUUCUUACUUGACUGAUGAACCAGCUUUGGGCAACGACCUUUAAUGCUUCUUCCAUUUGCAGCUCCUUUUUUUACAGUCUAUUAUUCCUAGUCAAAUUAGAUUUGUUUCUAUGUUUCUUAUUGGUUUGCAUUGGCUAUGUUUAGCCCUGAAUUGGACUAUUUAUUUUUUGUUUGGUUCUUUAUUUCGUUGGAUAUGAUGAGGGUUCUAAGAGAGUGUCAAUCUAGUUGAGAUGCCUGGAUGCACCUGAUCCUUGUUCAGUUUUACACUUUUGCUCAUUGUAUAAUCCUCUUGUAAUAUGAGCUUUUGUCUUAUUGGUUAUCGAGAAAUGAGACUGUCCUUUUCAAAAAAAAAAAAGAAAAAACCAAUUGUUGGGGAAAAUUCUUCUCCCUUGUCAAUGCUACUUGGCCAUUUGGUGACUCUUUCAGCUUGAAUAUUCAGCAGGUUUUAUUCAGUCCUUUAUUAAAGAAGGGGUCUAGAUUAAUCUGGGCAAACAUGACUAAGGCCUUGCUUGCAAAAUUGUGGUUUGAACGGAAUCAAAAAAAAUUUCAUGACAAAAAGUCAAGCUGGUUUGACCAUUUCGAAACCGGCAAGUAAUACUGCUUCCUGGUGCAAUUUGAGCAAGGAUAUCAAAUUUUAUUCAAUCCAGGAGAUUUGCUUGAAUCGGCAAGCUUUUAUCUUACCAUAAGGAUAGAAGAAACCCCUUCUAUCUACUCAUUCUUAGUCAUUACUUGAGUUUCUCUACUUUCUUGUUUUCCUUGUCCAAGACUUUGUAAUGAAUUUUGUUUUUCUUUUUGUUUUGGUUGUUUGCUUUGUAUCGCUUGCUUUCUUUUAGUCUCUUUUGUUUGGAUUUUCUUUGACAGUAUCUUGUACCGGAUGAUAUGACGAGAGUGCUAAAGAGGUGUCGACCUAGUUGAGAUACCCAAGUGUGCCCGCUAAUCCUUUGGUUUCUGUUGCUCUUUGUAUAAUUUUCUUGUACUUUGACCAUUAGUCUCAUUUCUUUGCAUUAAUAAAGAGGCUCAUUUUCUAAAAUUUAAAAAACAAA